GAUUUUUUGGCUCAGUCGGUAAGAGGUAUGACUGGUAAGCAAUAGGUCCGGGGUUCGACCCCCAGUGGUGGUA